rnacentral:rRNA from 1 species
AUUGAACGCUGGCGGCAGGCCUAACACAUGCAAGUCGAACGGUAACAGAAAGCAGCUUGCUGCUUUGCUGACGAGUGGCGGACGGGUGAGUAAUGUCUGGGAAACUUCCUGAUGGAGGGGGAUAACUACUGGAAACGGUAGCUAAUACCGCAUAACGUCGCAAGACCAAAGAGGGGGACCUUCGGGCCUCUUGCCAUCGGAUGUGCCCAGAUGGGAUUAGCUAGUAGGUGGGGUAACGGCUCACCUAGGCGACGAUCCCUAGCUGGUCUGAGAGGAUGACCAGCCACACUGGAACUGAGACACGGUCCAGACUCCUACGGGAGGCAGCAGUGGGGAAUAUUGGACAAUGGGCGCAAGCCUGAUGCAGCCAUGCCGCGUGUAUGAAGAAGGCCUUCGGGUUGUAAAGUACUUUCAGCGGGGAGGAAGGGAGUAAAGUUAAUACCUUUGCUCAUUGACGUUACCCGCAGAAGAAGCACCGGCUAACUCCGUG